UCAGAGCCGCUCAGUCGAGUUGAGCGCAACCUUAAAGCUAUGUCUUGUGUCUCCAUAUCUGGGCUUGGGUGCUGGAGGCGGGGGCUGUUGUGGUACACACAGGAUGAAGCAGGAUCCUUCCUUUGUGGCGCGCUGCUCCAUCAGGAACAACCUAUACGAUAAGGAUAAAUUUCUCUUUUUUCAGUUAACAGUUCUGGGACAGAGGCUGAUGGAGAGGUCCAGAGCCAACGUAGACCGAGAUGAAGAUGAGGAAGACCAGGAGUAGGAAGAGGCUGGCUGCCGCGGCGGCCACAGCGAAGAGCUCCAUCCACAGCGCAGCCUCUAGAAAUCCGGACUCCAGGGCUGCUGUGAAGCGCCGCGUUGCCAUGGGAACCGCGGCGGCGCUCCAGCUGAACCCUCCGUUUAUUACGCGAGCAUCGAUCCGCGCAGGGCGCCGGGGUCUCUGAGGCGCAGGAGCUAGCAACGGCUCAGCGGCGCGGGCUCCCCGCCCCCAUCGAGGUGCGGAAAAAGCAGAACUCGCAAAACCGCUUAGAGGACAGGUUCCAUACAGGUUCCCGGUGACCGAUCGUCUAGACGCGGGUCGGGAGUCGCAAGCUUAGAAACCCAGGCUCAACCAAAAAUCCAGCCUCCUGCCACUCAAGCCUCCUUAUGUCGAGAUCGUUUGGUUUCGUGGUCGGAAGUCUCCCUCAGCUCAAAGUCAUUCUUUGUAUUCCGCUGCCCAACCUGGAAACCAUAUGCUGGGCCUCUCAGCGGGUUAAAAUCACCCUCCCAGAGAUUCGAGCUGAUGACGCCUCUUCGCUUUGCAUUGGGGCGUCUGUGUCCCAGUGGUCUCGCCGCACUCCACUUCCCCGUUCCCUUCUGCCGCCAGAGGACCCUGCCUUCGUCCCUCUUCCCCAAGUCCCCACGCUACUAAAGCUAGAGAGGUUUGGCAAAUAGGGGCAGCCACUGGUGAGCUUCGCCCUUGGCUUGAUCUGUAGGACACCUGCGGGCCACAGGACCGGCCUCAGCUUGGCUGCUCCAAGGAACGUAGACCUACUGGCUCCAUCACAGCCAAGGUCAGUCCCGCCCACAGGCUCGGUCUGCCCGGUACCUCACUGCAUGGGCGACCCCUCUGACCCACCACCCCUGCCAGUCUGCUUCGUCCUCGAGGGCUGUUCGUUUAAGGCUGCUCUCAGUUGAGAAAGGACACCUGGUCGCAACAGCUUCGAUGCUCAAGGGCUUGGAGCAUUCUCUUGGGGUACUGGAGGUUGGGGUGGAUAGCUGCAUCCACCGCUGUCUCCUGGACGCUACACUAAAGCUCCUAGUAGGGGUUUCGCGUGGGUCAGGGGAAGCGCAGCCCCAAGCUGGCCUCGCCCAUUGCCCAGGCCUCCCCGCUCCCUGUCCCCUGCCCUGCGGCGCUCUGGGGCAUUGGAGGAACCAGCAAAAUCCAGGCACUUGCUUCUCUGCAGGCCCACGGGCUUCUGGGGCUCUGGCCACCUUCUCACUGGUGUAUUCUAUUCGCUCAGGGUCCUGGGACCCUUGCAGAGCCCCCAGAGGCUCCGUGUCACAGGAACCAGUAGAGGUUGAAGGCCUUGCAGAACCCAGAGCCAACCUUGCUGCUCCUGGGAAAGUGGUGCAAGCCAGGCGCCCUUCCCGAGGAUCUAACUCCUGUCAGCACCUCAGUAGGCCCCAUUUUCUGACUUUCUGCACAAACCCGGACUUUCAGACUUCUAAGGUACCACCAUAGGUCAAUAGGAACUACUGAAUUAUUUGUCUACUUAUUUCAGUCCGAAGCCUUGUGUACCACAAACAGCUACCCCAAACAGAAAAGGUACUGUCCACCUCCUAAGGAUUAUUAUGAUUAAAAAACACCAGCCAUUUAUUUCAUA